rnacentral:snRNA from 1 species
GUGCUCGCUUCAGCAGCACAUAUACUACCGUUGGAACAAUGCAGAGAAGAUUAACAUGGGCCCCGUGCAAGGAUGACACACAAAUUCGUGACACGUCCCAUGUUUUU